rnacentral:rRNA from 1 species
UUGACAGCCACCUAUACCUGCUGUCCGCCUGGGAACUACGAGCAUCAGCUUAAAACCCAAAGGACUUGGCGGUGCUUUAGAUCCACCUAGAGGAGCCUGUUCUGGAACCGAUAACCCCCGUUCAACCUCACCCUUCCUUGUUUUACCCGCCUAUAUACCGCCGUCGUCAGCAUACCCUGCAAAGGACCAACAGUAGGCAAAACUAGCACAGCCCCAGACGUCAGGUCGAGGUGUAGCAAAUGGAAGGGGAAGAAAUGGGCUACAUUCCCUCUACACAGGGCAUACGAACGACUAUACUGAAAUGUAUAUCCGAAGGAGGAUUUAGCAGUAAGUAGGAAGUAGAGCGUCCU